GACAGAGGCCUCAAGCGUUAGGCGGAAUCACUGGGCUUAAAGCGUGUGUAGGCGGAUCGUUAAGUGCCUUGUGAAAUCCCACGGCUUAACUGUGGAACGGCUGGGCAUACUGGCGGUCUUGAGCCAUCUAGGGGCGACUGGAACAAACGGUGGAGCGGUGAAAUGCGUAGAUAUCGUUUGGAACGCCAAAGGUGAAAACAGGUCGCUGGGGAUGCGCUGACGCUGAGACACGAAAGCCAGGGGAGCAAACGGG
rnacentral:rRNA from 1 species